AGAUGAACCAUCUAAUAUAACAGAUAAAACAUCUAAUGCAAUAGAUUGACAUCUGAUACAACAGAUUAAAUAUCUGAUACAACAUACUAAAUAUCUGAUGUAACAAAUGCAAAUAUGAUGCAUCAGAUGAAAAUCUAAUAAAACAAAUAAAAAUUUGGUGCAAUAAUGAAAAUCUGAUGCAACAGAUAAACAAUCUAACAGAUUAUUCAU
rnacentral:lncRNA from 1 species